rnacentral:tRNA from 1 species
UGGCAAAUGGCGCAACUGGUAGCGCAACACACUCUGAAUGUGAAGGUUGUAGGUUCGAGCCCUACUUUGCCAACCA